rnacentral:tRNA from 1 species
GUUACUAUAACUUAUUUAUAAAGUGUUAGAUUCUUACUCUAAUUAAGUUGUAUCAACUAGUAAUA